GCAGUCGAACGAUGAUCCCAGCUUGCUGGGGGAUUAGUGGCGAACGGGUGAGUAACACGUGAGUAACCUGCCCUUAACUCUGGGAUAAGCCUGGGAAACUGGGUCUAAUACCGGAUAUGACUCCUCAUCGCAUGGUGGGGGGUGGAAAGCUUUUUGUGGUUUUGGAUGGACUCGCGGCCUAUCAGCUUGUUGGUGAGGUAAUGGCUUACCAAGGCGACGACGGGUAGCCGGCCUGAGAGGGUGACCGGCCACACUGGGACUGAGACACGGCCCAGACUCCUACGGGAGGCAGCAGUGGGGAAUAUUGCACAAUGGGCGCAAGCCUGAUGCAGCGACGCCGCGUGAGGGAUGACGGCCUUCGGGUUGUAAACCUCUUUCAGUAGGGAAGAAGCGAAAGUGACGGUACCUGCAGAAGAAGCGCCGGCUAACUACGUGCCAGCAGCCGCGGUAAUACGUAGGGCGCAAGCGUUAUCCGGAAUUAUUGGGCGUAAAGAGCUCGUAGGCGGUUUGUCGCGUCUGCCGUGAAAGUCCGGGGCUCAACUCCGGAUCUGCGGUGGGUACGGGCAGACUAGAGUGAUGUAGGGGAGACUGGAAUUCCUGGUGUAGCGGUGAAAUGCGCAGAUAUCANGAGGAACACCGAUGGCGAAGGCAGGUCUCUGGGCAUUAACUGACGCUGAGGAGCGAAAGCAUGGGGAGCGAACAGGAUUAGAUACCCUGGUAGUCCAUGCCGUAAACGUUGGG
rnacentral:rRNA from 1 species